AUUCACGGAGCCGGUAAGCACAAAGCGAACUAUUUUUUCCCCUUUUACUAGAGAAUACCGUGUGCUUUCCGCUUACAAGAGGCAUACACAUAUUUUUGAAGAGAUUUCUCUGUUCUAAGAGAAAC